GCAAGAAAGCGGUGUGACAAAAGAAAAGAAAAAAGGAAAAACCGGUUUUCUUCUUUUUGGCAAAUCCCUUUCCCCAUCGUCUUCUGUUGGUUUGUCCGUUUCAGCUGAAGGUCUGUCUUUUUUAAACGAUUCGCAAGAGGG
rnacentral:ribozyme from 11 species